rnacentral:tRNA from 1 species
GAGGGAAUAGCUCAAGUGGUAGAGCACAUGCUUAGCAUGCAUGAGGUCCUGCGUUCAAUCCCCAGUACCUCCU